UGCUGGAAGGCUCGCACUGACACUGCUCUGCAGGCUGCAUCCAAGCUGCUCCCUGUCUCCAUGACCCCCACACAGUGGCAGGGCACCCAUGGGGACACAGUCAUUCUGGGUAUGUCCAGUCUGGAGCAGCUGGAGCAGCACUUGGCCUUGGUUGAGGAAGGGCCCCUGGAGCCAGCUGUCGUGGAAGCCUCUGACCAAGUCUGGAACCUGGUUGCCCAUGAGUGCCCCAACUAGGAUGCAGCUGACUUGGGGAGGUGCAGCUUACUGCCUGCCCCGCCUUGUCCUGACCUUGAUCUGAUUUGGUUUUCCCUCUUAAUACAAGCCACUGUCUAUUUUUCUUCCUGCUGA